rnacentral:misc_RNA from 1 species
CCUCCUUAUAACGAGGUUACACUUACAGAGUGUUCACACAAAUAAUUAAUUACGAAGUUUUAAGAGAGCUCUAACCCAUGCGCACAGUAUGUGCUCAUCAGUUAGGGUUUUUAACCCGGACGUGUAAACGUCAUGCUCUUUAACAAUUUGGAAAGCUGAUAAAAUAAGGUAAACAUUAUUGUUUAUUUAAUUUGUUAUUCAACAAUUUAAAAAAAUAAUUUUGAUUAUCACUGUAAGAGAAAACUCAAGCGUUAUUUAUGUCAAAACGAACAUGCCUAUACAACAUGUCUCGUUAAUAAAUAUGACACAAGAUGAUGCAAUCGAGAAUGUGAGAACAUUUAAGGUUGUAUGGUUAAGUGAAUAAGCGUAUACGGUGGAUGC